UACGUAGGGUGCGAGCGUUAAUCGGAAUUACUGGGCGUAAAGUGUGCGCAGGCGGCUUCGCAAGUCGAGUGUGAAAUCCCCGAGCUUAACUUGGGAAUUGCGCUCGAAACUACGGAGCUGGAGUGUGGCAGAGGAAGGUGGAAUUCCACGUGUAGCGGUGAAAUGCGUAGAUAUUCGCAGGAACACCAGUGGCGAAGGCGGCUUACUGGUCCAUUACUGACGCUGAGGUGCGAAAGCGUGGGGAGCAAACAGG
rnacentral:rRNA from 1 species